rnacentral:rRNA from 1 species
AGAGUUUGAUCCUGGCUCAGAUUGAACGCUGGCGGCAUGCCUUACACAUGCAAGUCGAACGGCAGCACGGACUUCGGUCUGGUGGCGAGUGGCGAACGGGUGAGUAACAUAUCGGAACGUGCCCUGGAGUGGGGGAUAACUAGUCGAAAGAUUAGCUAAUACCGCAUACGAUCUACGGAUGAAAGUGGGGGAUCGCAAGACCUCAUGCUCGUGGAGCGGCCGAUAUCUGAUUAGCUAGUUGGUGGGGUAAAGGCCCACCAAGGCAUCGAUCAGUAGCUGGUCUGAGAGGACGACCAGCCACACUGGGACUGAGACACGGCCCAGACUCCUACGGGAGGCAGCAGUGGGGAAUUUUGGACAAUGGGGGCAACCCUGAUCCAGCAAUGCCGCGUGAGUGAAGAAGGCCUUCGGGUUGUAAAGCUCUUUUGUCAGGGAAGAAACGGUCCGGGCUAAUACCUUGGGCUAAUGACGGUACCUGAAGAAUAAGCACCGGCUAACUACGUGCCAGCAGCCGCGGUAAUACGUAGGGUGCGAGCGUUAAUCGGAAUUACUGGGCGUAAAGCGUGCGCAGGCGGUUGUGCAAGACAGAUGUGAAAUCCCCGGGCUCAACCUGGGAAUUGCGUUUGUGACUGCACGGCUAGAGUGUGUCAGAGGGGGUAGAAUUUCCACGUGUAGCAGUGAAAUGCGUAGAGUGUGGGGGGAAUACCGAUGGCGAAGCAGCCCCCUGAGAUAACACUGACGCUCAUGCACGAAGCGUGGGGAGCAAACAGGAUUAGAAUACCUGGUAGUCCACGCCCUAACGAUGUCCACUAGUGGUCCGGUCCUAAUUGACUUGGUUACGGCAGCUAACGCGUGAAGUUGACCGCCUGGGGAGUACGGUCGCAAGAUUAAAACUCAAAGGAAUUGACGGGGACCCGCACAAGCGGUGGAUGAUGUGGAUUAAUUCGAUGCAACGCGAAAAACCUUACCUACCCUUGACAUGGCAGGAAUCCCCGAGAGAUCGGGGAGUGCUCGAAAGAGAACCUGCACACAGGUGCUGCAUGGCUGUCGUCAGCUCGUGUCGUGAGAUGUUGGGUUAAGUCCCGCAACGAGCGCAACCCUUGUCAUUAGUUGCUACGAAAGGGCACUCUAAUGAGACUGCCGGUGACAAACCGGAGGAAGGUGGGGAUGACGUCAAGUCCUCAUGGCCCUUAUGGGUAGGGCUUCACACGUCAUACAAUGGUACAUACAGAGGGCCGCCAACCCGCGAGGGGGAGCUAAUCCCAGAAAGUGUAUCGUAGUCCGGAUUGGAGUCUGCAACUCGACUCCAUGAAGUUGGAAUCGCUAGUAAUCGCGGAUCAGCAUGUCGCGGUGAAUACGUUCCCGGGUCUUGUACACACCGCCCGUC